AGAAAUGAGCUGUUAGGCAUAUGGGCAGAGCAAGUCUGAAGACGAAGCUAACAUCUACUGAGCUACAGUCCCACAGUCUCAAACAAUUUACCUAUGCGUGGCUAUACUGGCAAUACAUUCACCGAUUUCACAAUCCGGUGGGCAAGUGAUAGUCAAUGGACUGGACUCAAUGUCAACAUCUACAUGUAAGUAACAGCAAAGAAACUUCCAAAACUGUUUGUCAAACCAAGCAAAUUCUAAUCUGCCAGUCCUGUCGUAAAGCUGCAGGAAGGUGAAGAAAGCAAUUCCCAUUACCAUUCUCACAAGCAAUGCCUAGUGAAAGCUGAUGCUACCUUUAAUGAAGAAAGCUCACUGUGCCAUCUGAAG